GCCGCUUCCGGCGCGUUGCCAUGGCUGCCGCCAUCAACUUCCGGCGUGCCGGGCGGGCGGAUUGCAGCGAGGGCUGUCCGCUGGCUGCCGUGAGGGACGGCCAUGCCUCCCAAGGCGGCCGACAAGCGCCGGCAGGGCCAAGGUGGACCUUCAGGAGGAAAGGCAGGAAAAGCUGGUAAAGCUGGACAUAAAAAAAAGGCUGCGGAUGACUUUCCUGAAACGGGAGAGGACUGGUCAUCAGGAAGGGCUGCAGUCAGGUCCCCAGAUCAGCUGGAGCUAACUGAAGAUGAAUUAAAAAAGGAAAUUAUACGUACCUUGACAGCUAAUAAUCCCCAUAUUCCCCAGAAUAUCGUCAGAUUCAGCUUUAAAGAACGAGCAUACAAGCUAGUGGACAAUAUGGAUCAAACAGCCAUUCACUUCACUUUGAAUGGAUAUUUGAUACACAAAGAUUCAGAUGAAGGCAGACGCCAGAGUAUCAGAUCAAGCAUUGAAGCAGGUAGCUUUAUUUGGUUUAUCUAUGAUGCGUAUAUGGAGGAACUUGAGAGAAUGGAAAAGGCAAAAGAGAAAGAAAAAGCAAAACCUGCAGCAGCAAAGAAAGACGAUAAUAAAACUGGAAGAAGGUUAUCGUAUGUGGAGUCACCGCAGGUUGAUUCUCUAACAAAAGUUGCAAAGGCUGCUAAAAUAGCAGAACGGAUGGUGAACCUGAACACAUAUGAUGACAUUGCACAAGAUUUUAAAUAUUUUGAGGAUGCAUCAGAUGAAUUCAGAGGGCAGAAAGGAACCCUCCUCCCACUCUGGAAGUUCCAGUAUGAAAAAACCAAGAAACUUGCAGUUACUGCCCUCUCCUGGAAUCCAAAGUACAAGGACCUAUUUGCAGUGGGGUAUGGCUCUUAUGACUUCAUGAAGCAGGGCCAUGGCAUGCUCCUGCUCUACACCUUGAAGAACCCCUCCUUCCCAGAGUACUCCUUCAGCAGUGAGAGUGGCGUCAUGUGCCUGGACUUCCACAGUGACCACCCCUACCUCUUGGCAGUGGGCUUCUAUGAUGGCAAUGUGGCCAUUUACAACCUGAAGAAGGCAAGCUCCCAGCCCAGCUACAGGAGUAGUGCUAAGUCAGGAAAGCACACAGAGCCAGUGUGGCAGGUAAGGGUGCUUUUCCUUUCCUGUGACUGGGGUUUGAAUUGCAUGGAGCUUGGGCACAGCAGGAAAAGUCCUCUGGUUCACAUGGAUGUCAUCAAGCUGUCAGCAGAUGAAACAACGAUGCAGGGGCCAGAGGGGCUGCAGCUGCAAACGCUUGGCAGUGGGACAUCGUUUGAUUUUCACAAAAAGAUAGACUAUUUGUUUCUUGUUGGUACUGAAGAGGGCAAGAUCUAUAAGUGUUCAAAAAGUUAUUCAAGCCAGUUUCUGGAUGUGUUUGAAGCCCAUCACAUGGCUGUGGACGCAAUCAGCUGGAGUCCCUUCCACUUGAAAGUCUUCAUUUCCUGCAGUUCUGACUGGACAGUCAAGAUCUGGGAUCACACCAUCAAGACUCCAUUGUUUGUUUAUGACCUGAGUACUGCUGUAGGGGAUGUUGCGUGGUCUCCUUACUCCUCCACAGUGUUUGCUGCAGUCACCAUUGAUGGCCAGGCCCAUGUGUUUGAUCUGAACAUUAAUAAGCUUGAACCUCUCUGCACGCAGCUAGUGGUGACCAGGAAGAAAAAUAAAACAACACACAUCCAGUUUAAUCCUGUCUACCCUAUUAUCAUUGUUGGAGAUGAACGAGGCCUCAUCACCUGCUUGAAGCUCUCUCCCAAUCUACGCAAGAUGCCCAAGGAGAAGAAAGGCCAGGAGGUGAAGAAAGGACCCGAGGUGGAAAUGGCAAAACUGGAGAAGCUGCUCAGCCUGGUGAGAGAGCCAGGGAGCAAGGAAGAGCAGUGAGAGGGGGAAAGAUGACUCUGUGGGCAGCCUCUGGCCAAACAAGCUCGGCUUUGAUCGGUGGCUGCUUGGCAUGCAAGCCACGGGCCUCUGCUGCCCACUUUUUGCACAGCAGAAACACUUUUCCUCUGUGCCCAAAUAAAUCGAGGUGCUGG
ensembl:lncRNA